rnacentral:rRNA from 1 species
CCUACGGGUGGCAGCAGUGAGGAAUCUUGGUCAAUGGACGAGAGUCUGAACCAGCCAAGUAGCGUGAAGGAUUGCUGCCCUACGGGUUGUAAACUUCUUUUAUGAAGGAAUAAAGUGAGGCACGUGUGCCUUUUUGUAUGUACUUUAUGAAUAAGGAUCGGCUAACUCCGUGCCAGCAGCCGCGGUAAUACGGAGGAGCCGAGCGUUGUCCGGAUUUAUUGGGCUUAAGGGGAGCGUAGAUGGGUUGUUAAGUCAGUUGUGAAAGUUUGCGGCUCAACCGGAAAAUUGCAAUUGAUACUGGCAGUCUUGAGUACAGGUGAGGUAAGCGGAAUUCGUGGUGUAGCGGUGAAAUGCUUAGAUAUCACGAAGAACUCCGAUUGCGAAGGCAGCUUACUAAACUGCCACUGACAUUGAUGCUCGAAAGUGUGGGUAUCAAACAGGAUUAGAUACCCGAGUAGUC